rnacentral:rRNA from 1 species
GCAAGAUAGUCGAACGGAAUGGAAAGUCCGGCCGUAGCAGGUGAUAGCCCUGUAGGCGAAAUCUUGUGUGUGGAACUAAGCGUAAGAAAAGUAGGGCGGGACACGUGAAAUCCUGUUUGAAGAUGGGGGGACCAUCCUCCAAGGCUAAAUACUCGUGAUCGACCGAUAGUGAACCAGUACCGUGAGGGAAAGGCGAAAAGAACCCCGGAAGGGGAGUGAAAUAGAUCCUGAAACCGUAUGCAUACAAACAGUAGGAGCCUCCUUGUGGGGUGACUGCGUACCUUUUGUAUAAUGGGUCAGCGACUUACAUUCAGUGGCAAGGUUAACCGAAUAGGGAAGCCGUAGCGAAAGCGAGUCCGAAUAGGGCGAUUCAGUCGCUGGGUGUAGACCCGAAACCAGAUGAUCUAUCCAUGGCCAGGUUGAAGGCACGGUAACACGUGCUGGAGGACCGAACCCACUAAUGUUGAAAAAUUAGGGGAUGAGCUGUGGAUAGGGGUGAAAGGCUAAACAAAUCUGGAAAUAGCUGGUUCUCUCCGAAAACUAUUUAGGUAGUGCCUCAAGUAUUACUGCGGGGGGUAGAGCACUGUUAUAGCUAGGGGGUCAUGGCGACUUACCAAACUAUGGCAAACUCCGAAUACCCGCAAGUACAGCUUGGGAGACAGAGCACCGGGUGCUAACGUCCGGACUCAAGAGGGAAACAACCCAGACCGCCAGCUAAGGUCCCAAAUUAUCGCUAAGUGGGAAACGAAGUGGGAAGGCAUAGACAGUCAGGAGGUUGGCUUAGAAGCAGCCAUCCUUUAAAGAAAGCGUAAUAGCUCACUGAUCGAGUCGUCCUGCGCGGAAGAUGUAACGGGGCUAAGCGAUAAACCGAAGCUGCGGGUGUGCACUUU